rnacentral:rRNA from 1 species
AUUGAACGCUGGCGGCAGGCCUAACACAUGCAAGUCGAACGAGUGGCGGACGGGUGAGUAAUGUCUGGGAAACUGCCUGAUGGAGGGGGAUAACUACUGGAAACGGUAGCUAAUACCGCAUACCAUCGGAUGUGCCCAGAUGGGAUUAGCUAGUAGGUGGGGUAACGGCUCAACUAGGCGACGAUCCCUAGCUGGUCUGAGAGGAUGACCAGCAACACUGGAACUGAGACACGGUCCAGACGCCUACGGGAGGCAGUAGUGGGGAAUAUUGCACAAUGGGCGCAAGCCUGAUGCAGCCAUGCCGCGUGUAUGAAGAAGGCCUUCGGGUUGUAAAGUACUUUCAGCGAGGAGGCGUUACCCGCAGAAGAAGCACCGGCUAACUCCGUGCCAGCAGCCGCGGUAAUAC